rnacentral:rRNA from 1 species
UAAAAACUUAUUUAUUUUAGGUAGUAACAGAUUUCUUGAAACCUAAAGAAUUUGGCGGUAUUUUAAAUAAUUAGAGGAACCUGUUAAUUAAAUGAUAAUCCACAACAUAUCUUACCUAAAUUGAAUUUGUAUACCAUUGUUUUUAGAUUAUAUUUAAAAAUUAUAAUCGUAAUUAAUUAGUUUUUACAAAUCAAAUCAAGGUGCAGUAUAUUUAGGUUUUGAUGGGUUACAAUAUAUUUAUAUAAACGGACAGAUAAUGAAAAUAUUUUUUGAAGGUGGAUUUAAAAGUAAUUUGAAAUUAAAAUGUUCAAAUGAAUGAAAAUUUAAAAUAUGC